rnacentral:rRNA from 1 species
GACGAACGCUGGCUGCGUGCUUAACACAUGCAAGUCGAACGCUGAAGCCCCAGCUUGCUGGGGUGGAUGAGUGGCGAACGGGUGAGUAACACGUGAGUAACCUGCCCCUGACUUCGGGAUAAGCCCGGGAAACUGGGUCUAAUACCGGAUACGACUAUCGGACGCAUGCCUGGUGGUGGAAAGUUUUUUCGGUUGGGGAUGGGCUCGCGGCCUAUCAGUUUGUUGGUGAGGUAAUGGCUCACCAAGACGACGACGGGUAGCCGGCCUGAGAGGGCGACCGGCCACACUGGGGCUGAGACACGGCCCCGGCUCCUCCGGGGGGCAGCAGUGGGGAAUAUUGCACAAUGGGGGAAACCCUGAUGCAGCGACGCCGCGUGCGGGAUGACGGCCUUCGGGUUUUAAACCGCUUUCAGCAGGGAAGAAGCCUUCGGGUGACGGUACCUGCAGAAGAAGUACCGGCUAACUACGUG